GCUUUUGUGGUGUAAUUAGAAGCACGUUUGGCUAGUAAUCAGAAGGUCCGGAGUUCGAAUCUGGGCAAAGACA
rnacentral:tRNA from 1 species